rnacentral:tRNA from 1 species
GCUCAGUUGGAGACCAUGUGACUCUUAAUCAUGGGGUCAUGGGUUCAAGUCCCACAUUGAGUC